rnacentral:rRNA from 1 species
UGCCAGUAGUCAUAUGCUUGUCUCAAAGAUUAAGCCAUGCAUGUCUCAGUACAAGCCAAAUUAAGGUGAAACCGCGAAAGGCUCAUUAUAUCAGUUAUGAUUCCUUAGAUCGUACCCACAUUUACUUGGAUAACUGUGGUAAUUCUAGAGCUAAUACAUGCAAACAGAGUUCCGACCAGAGAUGGAAGGAAUGCUUUUAUUAGAUCAAAACCAAUCGGUGUAAAUUUUAAUUUGCAUCGUUUAAUUUGGUGACUCUGAAUAACUUUAAGCUGAUCGCACGGUCUCGUACCGGCGACGCAUCUUUCAAAUGUCUGCCUUAUCAACUGUCGAUGGUAGGUUCUGCGCCUACCAUGGUUGUAACGGGUAACGGGGAAUCAGGGUUCGAUUCCGGAGAGGGAGCCUGAGAAACGGCUACCACAUCCAAGGAAGGCAGCAGGCGCGCAAAUUACCCACUCCCGGCACGGGGAGGUAGUGACGAAAAAUAACGAUACGGGACUCAUCCGAGGCCCCGUAAUCGGAAUGAGUACACUUUAAAUCCUUUAACGAGGAUCCAUUGGAGGACAAGUCUGGU